CUCUAUGCUGGGCUGCCCUGUAUUUCCAUCCUUCUCCUGAUACAGCUGUUGAUCUUGCUCUGGAGAAAGUGCCCCAUCAGAGGGAGAGCUGUGCAAAGAGGGAAUCCAAUACCUAUGAGGCAGAUCCCACAGACUGAAUAUGCGACUCUGACGUACAAGAACAGAAACGCUCCUCUGUGACUGAUGCAGUCUCACUAAAGUGGUCUAUAUUUGUUAAAACAAGAG